UUUUGCUUCUGUUGGAUGCGUUUCUUUUUCUUCUUAAUUCUUCUUCAGUUUCCAUGGGUUCUACUGGAGUGGAAGUUCUGAACUGAGCUGCUAUUAUAGGAUUGAAGUACGAAAGUUUUUGGUGUAUGGCUCCUGGAAAUUUUUUGCUUGACCGAAGACUGACGACUGAAGUUACUGUAGCCGGAUGAUUUGUUUCAUAAAGCGUAUUAACAACAAUUACGCAGCUUUUGUUCAUUGGUUUAUGUGGUGGUGUAGGCGUGGAAAGCUGUUAAAUUUUGACUCCUCGUGAUAAGUUUUAACAAUACAACAGUAGUGGAAAGCGGAAGCAUCGUAUAACUAGAAUUCUUGAGUUAUUCAAGAGUGUUCCUCGGUCAACUUGUGUGUGACAAUACCUUACGAGAUGAACCACAAUAUGAUGUGACAUUUUGGGAUUUUAUGGAAAGUUCCCGGAAAUCCAGAAAUUAUCCAUGGAUCGAUCGAAUGUUGAGCCGUUCUCAAAAGUGCUGAGGAGUCACUUCAAUGUUUAAGUAAAUCGGUGGGAAGUUAGAACAUAUAUCUUUUAUCAUCCUCUUACCCUCCUUACCUAAUUAUACUUGACCUAUAUGUAUGUUAAGCUUUGCUCAAUUUCUAACUGUUAAUAUUUUCUGUGUGUGAUUUCUUGGAAUGUUAAGAUUGUGCAAAGAUCUUCUUCAGAUGACUGUACACAAAUGUCAAAAACAUAUUAUUUAGACGUAAUGGCUACUCUUGAACUUCAAAAUAUAAUAGACUUUUCUUUGGAUACGUCAAUCGAUGAA